rnacentral:rRNA from 1 species
UUUAUGGAGAGUUUGAUCCUGGCUCAGGAUGAACGCUGGCGGCGUGCCUAAUACAUGCAAGUCGAGCGAACGGACGAGAAGCUUGCUUCUCUGAUGUUAGCGGCGGACGGGUGAGUAACACGUGGAUAACCUACCUAUAAGACUGGGAUAACUUCGGGAAACCGGAGCUAAUACCGGAUAAUAUUUUGAACCGCAUGGUUCAAAAGUGAAAGACGGUCUUGCUGUCACUUAUAGAUGGAUCCGCGCUGCAUUAGCUAGUUGGUAAGGUAACGGCUUACCAAGGCAACGAUGCAUAGCCGACCUGAGAGGGUGAUCGGCCACACUGGAACUGAGACACGGUCCAGACUCCUACGGGAGGCAGCAGUAGGGAAUCUUCCGCAAUGGGCGAAAGCCUGACGGAGCAACGCCGCGUGAGUGAUGAAGGUCUUCGGAUCGUAAAACUCUGUUAUUAGGGAAGAACAUAUGUGUAAGUAACUGUGCACAUCUUGACGGUACCUAAUCAGAAAGCCACGGCUAACUACGUGCCAGCAGCCGCGGUAAUACGUAGGUGGCAAGCGUUAUCCGGAAUUAUUGGGCGUAAAGCGCGCGUAGGCGGUUUUUUAAGUCUGAUGUGAAAGCCCACGGCUCAACCGUGGAGGGUCAUUGGAAACUGGAAAACUUGAGUGCAGAAGAGGAAAGUGGAAUUCCAUGUGUAGCGGUGAAAUGCGCAGAGAUAUGGAGGAACACCAGUGGCGAAGGCGACUUUCUGGUCUGUAACUGACGCUGAUGUGCGAAAGCGUGGGGAUCAAACAGGAUUAGAUACCCUGGUAGUCCACGCCGUAAACGAUGAGUGCUAAGUGUUAGGGGGUUUCCGCCCCUUAGUGCUGCAGCUAACGCAUUAAGCACUCCGCCUGGGGAGUACGACCGCAAGGUUGAAACUCAAAGGAAUUGACGGGGACCCGCACAAGCGGUGGAGCAUGUGGUUUAAUUCGAAGCAACGCGAAGAACCUUACCAAAUCUUGACAUCCUUUGACAACUCUAGAGAUAGAGCUUNNNCCCCUUCGGGGNACAAAGUGACAGGUGGUGCAUGGUUGUCGUCAGCUCGUGUCGUGAGAUGUUGGGUUAAGUCCCGCAACGAGCGCAACCCUUAAGCUUAGUUGCCAUCAUUAAGUUGGGCACUCUAAGUUGACUGCCGGUGACAAACCGGAGGAAGGUGGGGAUGACGUCAAAUCAUCAUGCCCCUUAUGAUUUGGGCUACACACGUGCUACAAUGGACAAUACAAAGGGCAGCGAAACNNNNNGGUCAAGCAAAUCCCAUAAAGUUGUUCUCAGUUCGGAUUGUAGUCUGCAACUCGACUACAUGAAGCUGGAAUCGCUAGUAAUCGUAGAUCAGCAUGCUACGGUGAAUACGUUCCCGGGUCUUGUACACACCGCCCGUCACACCACGAGAGUUUGUAACACCCGAAGCCGGUGGAGUAACCUUUUAGGAGCUAGCCGUCGAAGGUGGGACAAAUGAUUGGGGUGAAGUCGUAACAAGGUAGCCGUAUCGGAAGGUGCGGCUGGAUCACCUCCUUU